rnacentral:lncRNA from 1 species
GGGAGGAUAACAUUGUACUCACUCAAAACUUGAAUCAGCCUGGCUGUCACUAACUCACUUCUGCAGCUAGCAUGUGGUGAUCUCGACCCGCUGCCCCCAAAAUAUUGCGCUCGGGGCUCAUGCCUGUCAGCCUGUGAAUUAAUGAAGAGGAGCAACAUCUUUGAUCGACAACUUGCGAUUUUUCUAACCUUAAAACCUGGAGAUGGCAUGUGAUUAUAUGUGGUCUGAAUGCUGUCCGUUAAGGCUCAUGUGUUUGUAUAUGCAAACCCAUGGAAGGCCUGCUCAAUAGGAUAUAUAGAGGCUGCACAUGGCGGCCAGCC